rnacentral:rRNA from 1 species
GACGAACGCUGGCGGCGUGCUUAACACAUGCAAGUCGAACGGCAAGGCCCUGCUUUUGUGGGGUGCUCGAGUGGCGAACGGGUGAGUAACACGUGAGUAACCUGCCCUUGACUUUGGGAUAACUUCAGGAAACUGGGGCUAAUACCGGAUAGGAGCUCCUGUUGCAUGGUGGGGGUUGGAAAGUUUCGGCGGUUGGGGAUGGACUCGCGGCUUAUCAGCUUGUUGGUGGGGUAGUGGCUUUCCAAGGCUUUGACGGGUAGCCGGCCUGAGAGGGUGACCGGCCACAUUGGGACUGAGAUACGGCCCAGACUCCUACGGGAGGCAGCAGUGGGGAAUAUUGCACAAUGGGCGGAAGCCUGAUGCAGCAACGCCGCGUGCGGGAUGACGGCCUUCGGGUUGUAAACCGCUUUCGCCUGUGACGAAGCGUGAGUGACGGUAAUGGGUAAAGAAGCACCGGCUAACUACGUG